rnacentral:rRNA from 1 species
AGAAUCAACGCUGGCGGCGUGCCUAACACAUGCAAGUCGAACGAGAAAGUGGAGCAAUCCAUGAGUACAGUGGCGCACGGGUGAGUAACACGUGACUAACCUACCCUGGAGUGGGGGAUAACUGAGGGAAACCUUAGCUAAUACCGCAUAACACCUACGGGUCAAAGGAGCAAUUCGCUUUAGGAGGGGGUCGCGGCAGAUUAGCUAGUUGGCGGGGUAAUGGCCCACCAAGGCAAUGAUCGGUA